rnacentral:rRNA from 1 species
UGAGUACGAGACGCUAAGGCGUCGAAGUAGUGUAUGUCAUACUUCCAAGAAAAGCUUGCACUGUCAUUCAUAAAAAAUGCCUGUACCAUAACCGACACAGGUGGGUAGGUAGAGUAUACUAAGGGGCGCGAGAUAACUCUCUCUAAGGAACUCGGCAAAAUAACUCCGUAACUUCGGGAGAAGGAGUGCCUUAUUUAUAUAAGGUUGCAAUAACAAGAUCCAAGCAACUGUUUACCAAAAACACAGGUCUCCGCUAAGUCGUAAGACGAUGUAUGGGGGCUGACGCCUGCCCAGUGCCAGAAGGUUAAAGAAGUUGGUUAGCAAUAGCGAAGCUGAUAACUGAAGCCCUGGUGAACGGCGGCCGUAACGAUAACGGUCCUAAGGUAGCGAAAUUCCUUGUCGGGUAAGUUCCGACCCGCACGAAAGGCGUAAUGAUUUGGAUACUGUCUCGGAGAGGGACUCGGUGAAAUAGACUUGUCUGUGAAGAUGCGGACUACCUGCACCUGGACAGAAAGACCCUAUGAAGCUUUACUGUAACUUGAAAUUGAAAUUGGACUUUAUUCGCGCAGUAUAGGUGGGAGGCGUUGAAAAUAAUCUUGCGGGACUAUUGGAGCCAUCAGUGAGAUACCACUCUUAUAAUGUUAGAUUUCUAACUUUGAAUCAUUAUCUGGUCAAAGAACAGUUUCAGGCGGGCAGUUUGACUGGGGCGGUCGCCUCCCAAACGGUAACGGAGGCGUACAAAGGUUUCCUCUGAACGGGUAGAAAUCGUAUCUAGAGUAUAAAGGCAAAAGGAAGCUUGACUGUGAGACCUACAAGUCGAGCAGGGACGAAAGUCGGUCUUAGUGAUCUGACGGUACUGAGUGGAAAGGCCGUCACUCAACGGAUAAAAGUUACUCUAAGGAUAACAGGCUGAUCUCCCCCAAGAGUUCACAUCGACGGGGAGGUUUGGCACCUCGAUGUCGGCUCAUCGCAUCCUGGGGCGGUAGUACGUCCCAAGGGUUGGGCUGUUCGCCCAUGAAAGCGGUACGCGAGCUGGGUUCAGAACGUCGUGAGACAGUUCGGUCCAUAUCCGGUGUAGGCGUUAGAAUAUUGAGAGGAGCCUUCUUUAGUACGAGAGGACCGAGAAGGACAUACCUCUGGUGUACCAGUUAUCGUGCCAACGGUAAACGCUGGGUAGCUAUGUAUGGAGUGGAUAACCGCUGAAAGCAUCUAAGUGGGAAGCCCACCUCAAGAUGAGUAUUCUCAGC